AUUUAAGUAGCUUAAUUAAAAGCUAAACAUUGAAAAUGUUUAAAUACAUUUUUGUCUUAAGUA
rnacentral:tRNA from 1 species